rnacentral:rRNA from 1 species
ACGGCUCAGUAACACGUGGAUAACCUGCCCUUGGGUCCGGCAUAACCCCGGGAAACUGGGGAUAAUUCCGGAUAACGCAUAUAUGCUGGAAUGCUCUAUGUGUAAAAUGGAUUCGUCCGCCCAAGGAUGGGUCUGCGGCCUAUCAGGUAGUAGUGGGUGUAAUGUACCUACUAGCCUACAACGGGUACGGGUUGUGAGAGCAAGAGCCCGGAGAUGGAUUCUGAGACAUGAAUCCAGGCCCUACGGGGCGCAGCAGGCGCGAAAACUUUACAAUGCGGGAAACCGUGAUAAGGGGACACCGAGUGCUAGCAUCAUAUGCUGGCUGUCCAGGUGUGUAAACUACACCUGUUAGCAAGGGCCGGGCAAGACCGGUGCCAGCCGCCGCGGUAACACCGGCGGCCCGAGUGGUGAUCGUGAUUAUUGGGUCUAAGGGGUCCGUAGCCGGUUUGGUCAGUCCUCCGGGAAAUCUAAUAGCUCAACUAUUAGGCUUUCGGGGGAUACUGCCAGACUUGGAACCGGGAGAGGUAAGAGGUACUACAGGGGUAGGAGUGAAAUCUUGUAAUCCCUGUGGGACCACCUGUGGCGAAGGCGUCUUACCAGAACGGGUUCGACGGUGAGGGACGAAAGCUGGGGGCACGAACCGGAUUAGAUACCCGGGUAGUCCCAGCCGUAAACGAUGCCCGCUAGGUGUCAGGCAUGGCGCGACCGUGUCUGGUGCCGCAGGGAAGCCGUGAAACGAGCCACCUGGGAAGUACGGCCGCAAGGCUGAAACUUAAAGGAAUUGGCGGGGGAG